CUGGGAAGGGCAGGGGAGGGCCCUGACCUCACAUCUGAGCCCUGACCCUGCUGAAAGUCUCCAGAAGGGCUCCUGCUUUCCCU